rnacentral:rRNA from 1 species
GACGAACGCUGGCGGCGUGCUUAACACAUGCAAGUCGAACGGAAAGGCCCCUUUUGGGGUACUCGUGUGGCGAACGCGUGAGUAACACGUGUGUAACCCGCCCUUGACUUCGGGAUAACUGUAGGAAACUGGGGCCUAUACCGGCUAGGAAUCCUUGCUGCAUGGUGGGGGUUGGUCAGCUUCGGCGGUUUUGGAUGGACUUGCGGCUUAUCAGCUUGUUGGUGGGGUAGUGGCUUACCAAGGCGUUGACGGGUAGCCGGCCUGAGAGGGCGAGCGGCCACACUGGGACCGAGGGACGGCCGAGGCGCGGACUGGAGGAAGCAGGGGGGAAUAUUGCACAAGGGGCGGAGGCCUGAUGCAGCAAGGCCGCGGGCGGGAUAACGGCCUUCGGGUUGUAAACCGGUAGCAGCAGGGGCGAAGCCUGUGGUGACGGUACCUGCAGAAGAAGCACCGGCUAACUACGUG